UACGAAGGGGCUAGCGUUGUUCGGAAUCACUGGGCGUAAAGCGCACGUAGGCGGAUCUUUAAGUCAGGGGUGAAAUCCAGAGGCUCAACCUCGGAACUGCCUUUGAUACUGGGGAUCUCGAGUCCGGGAGAGGUGAGUGGAACUGCGAGUGUAGAGGUGAAAUUCGUAGAUAUUCGCAAGAACACCAGUGGCGAAGGCGGCUCACUGGCCCGGAACUGACGCUGAGGUGCG
rnacentral:rRNA from 1 species